rnacentral:lncRNA from 1 species
GCCCCAUCAAGAAGUGCUGUGCCCCCUUUCUUUCUUUUGUGAGAUGAGAGGCAUCCUCUUCUCUCUUGUCGCAAAAGAAAAAAAGGGUUGGGGCAUCCAAGAGUUGGAUGCCCCAAACUCCACACGCCCACCCCUACUCUCCUUCCCAUCUUGGAGUGUUUUUAUGGGAGUUUCAUUGCUGACUUUUGGGCAUCAAAGAGAGGCUCCUCUGCUGGUUAUACAGCAGAAAAUUGGAAAAGAAAAGUUCUUCCCAAUGAGAGAAAGAGAAGGAAGAAGAUGGGUCUUCUUUCUUCAGCACAGCC